rnacentral:rRNA from 1 species
AUUGAACGCUGGCGGCAGGCCUAACACAUGCAAGUCGAACGAGUGGCGGAGGGGUGAGUAAUAUCUGGGACACUGCCUGAUGGAGGGGGAUAACUACGGAAAACGGUAGCUAAUACCGCAUACACGCAUAGGUGCCCAUAUGGGAUUAGCGCGUUGGUGGGGUAACGGCUAACCAAGUCGACGAUCACUAGCUGGUCUGAGAGGAGUACCAGCAACACUGGAACUGAGACACGGUCCAGACUCCUACGGGAGGCAGCAGUGGGGAAUAUUGCACAAUGGGCGCAAGCCUGAUGCAGCCAUGCCGCGUGUAUGAAGAAGGCCUUCGGGUUGUAAAGUACUUUCAGCGGGGAGGCGUUACCCGCAGAAGAAGCACCGGCUAACUCCGUGCCAGCAGCCGCGGUAAUAC